AUUAAACAAAUAUAAUCACGGCUAUUAGCAACACCAUUUCUGUUGCCAAAAGCAGGAAAAAAAGCUGUGUAAAAGUUAACAUGAGGACCCACACUGGAGAGAAGCCCUACACUGCCCACUCUGUGACUAUUUAUGUGAAACAAAUAGCCAAUGAAACAUUCACCUGCGUAUCCACAAUAGAGAAACUUCAAAGCAGUGAUGUCUUGGGCCAAGCUGUCCCAGCAGUCACCACCUGAGAGAACUUAUGUAUGACCCACAGCUGGAAGAACUACUGUCCUACACCUACUGGGACAGCACAUGCAUUAACACCAGCUCUACAGUCCAACAUGACAGGACACAGGAAAGAUACUUUACACCUGUAGUGAUGUAGGAAAGCUGUGUUAUACUGCAUAGAAUGUUGGUAAAACUAUGACUGACACUUUCACAUUUUAAACUACAUGGAUUUGUGUUGUUAAAAGUGGCUGGUAAUGUAUAGGAACUCUUGAGGGACAUGUGUGUUGUUCUAAACACACCCUGAAAAUGUAUUAGCAUUUCCAGGGACACCAGACUUGGUGGUUCUGAUGCAGAGGGUUACUGUGUCUCUCACCAAGUGAUCACUUGCUUUUGGUUUUCAGACUGUACUGAUUAUAUUUCAGAUGACACUGA